rnacentral:lncRNA from 1 species
GCUGGGAUCCUAUGACCCCAGCUGACUUCCUGCCCUUUGGGCAGGGGGCUGGACUCGAUGAUCUCCCGAGGUCCCUUCCAGCUCUAAUGUCUAUGAAAUUUCUAGGGUAUUAGCUCUGACAGAAGCAACACCCUGGAAGCAAAGUAGGUAUAAGUAAUUGGUGUGGCUCUUGCAGAGAUGGCUAGGAAGGCCGCCUGCAGUUGAACAGUUCAAAGCACCUGUGAUGAACAACUAGAUGCUUUUGUGUGGCCACACUUUCAGGGAAAGCCAUUUUGUAUUCAAACCCUCUCAAGUUGGGCAGCUCAGAGAAAUUUCUGAAGGGUUCUGGGCUGGUCUUCAUUCACAUUACCAAUGCUGGGUUUUGCAAACCUGCUGUUAAAGCUGCCACUACUUGUUCUUUAUGUGCAGGAGCAGCAGUUACCUUUAGCACCAGGGGCAGGAAGAAGCACUCAACUCUAGAAUACCCCCUCUAACCAGGGACUCCCAACAUACCCCUCUGGAACAGCAGUCUCACGCUCGCUUCUAGUUUACUAAGUGUCAUACCUUAGAUUUCCAUGUGGGCUACAACAGUUAUUGAGUUGUCCCUCUUUUGGCACACCUGGAGAACAGAGCAAAUGAUGCCACAUGGGAUGGACAUAACUACUAGAAACUGCAGAACAGAACAAGUCUCAGAAGUAAUUUUCUGCUCAUAGGGAUGUGAAGGCGAUAGGCAAGCACAAUCUUGUGUCUCGCUUGCAGGCAGAGGGCAGCUUGCUGUCAGCAAUGAGCACAGACACCACCACCAGCUGCAGCUCACACCUCUGGCAUAGGCUGAGCUGCCAAGGAAAUUAUUAGGAUGCACCUUUUGCUGCUCUGCCAGAUCAUUCAAAGCACCAGCAGCACAAGCAAUGGGGAGUUGAAUCAGCAGAUGGGGAUGUUGAGCAGCCAGGAGGUGGAGGCUGCCGUUCACAUCCAAGGCAACAAAACCUCUUCAACUGUUUGUGUGCGACUACAAACACGUGAGUCCAGCGAUAGUCCAGGCUCCAUGCAAACAGCAAAUGAAUCUGAAAGUAGGGGGUGAUAAAUCCUUACAGUACUGAUGUGCAAGACCUUAAAUUUGCUAGGACCCCAGUUUGGUUUGAGUUUUAAACACAACUAGGAUGUGAAGACCUCAGAGUCCAUAUAUAAUAUUGAUUUUCAAAGCAGGUUUUGGAGAAGCACCUUCUGUUCUCACUUUAGCAAUCUCUGCUUGGUCUGAGUGAUUUCAGUCAACAGCAGAUCCAGGAUUAAGAUCCUUCUGUUUGACUACUCCCUUUUCCACUCCCACUACAUUUUACGACCAACCCUGUUCUGCUUUUUGCAUCCUGAGAUGUAGAAGCACAUCCUCGCCAUCUGCUAAAUUUGUUUAAUUAAUUUAGUUCCCUGUACACACCAUAGCUGCAGGAUCUCACUCUAAAGGCUCUAUCUCCAGGUACACAAAAUAAAAAUAUAGUAGUUAUAAAUCUAUGAACA